rnacentral:rRNA from 1 species
UACGAAGGGAGCUAGCGUUGUUCGGAAUCACUGGGCGAAAGCGCACGUAGGCGGAUGUGUCAGUCAGGGGUGAAAUCCCGGAGCUCAACUUCGGAACUGCCCUUGAUACAGCACGUCUGAGUCCGGAAGAGGUGGGUGGAAUUCCUAGUGUAGAGGUGAAAUUCGUAGAUAUUAGGAAGAACACCGUGGCGAAGGCGGCCCACUGGUCCGGUACUGACGCUGAGGUGCGAAAGCGUGGGGAGCAAACAGG